UAUACGAAGUAGACAGCUCAGCGUCGACCAACGCCCAAAUAGCAGCAUUGACAAAACAAGUGGAGUUAUUGGUGAAGUCACAAACAAAAGGAGCACAUGCAGUGAUAGCCGGUCCAUCAUGUGAGAACUGCGGAGCUAAUCAUCUAACAGAAAAUUGCACAUCUUUAGGCUUUCCAGAGGAACAAAUCAACUUCAUUCAAAAUGGCUCUCGAAAUUUUAAUCCCUUUUCACAGACAUUUAACCCAGGAUGGAGACAACACCCAAACUUCAGAUGGUCGGAUAAUCAGCAAGGGAGCAGUUC
rnacentral:lncRNA from 1 species